GAGAUAGAGGCGCGGAGUUCAUCAGUAGCAUUUCGGCAAGGGCAGGCAGCCGCCGGAUGAGAAAGGGGAUUCCGCCGAAGCGGUGAGCGAAGGCCUGUUCGCUGGCUGCUGGGGCGGCAGAGAACAUCUGUCGGACUGUCACAAAUAAUUUGUGAAGCGCUAUCG
rnacentral:ncRNA from 1 species